rnacentral:sRNA from 1 species
UACUGUAAAUGGCUCAUGCUUGAUGCAGU